ACGGCCAUACCAUGCUGAAAACACCGGUUCUCGUCCAAUCACCGAAGUAAAGCUUCAUCGGGCACGGUGAGUACUUGGGAGGGUGACCACCUGGGAACACUGCGUGCCGCUUG
rnacentral:rRNA from 1 species